rnacentral:tRNA from 1 species
GCGCCGCUAGCUCAGUUGGUUAGAGCAGCUGACUCUUAAUCAGCGGGUCCG